rnacentral:rRNA from 1 species
CGUGUAGGCGGAUUCGUGCGUCUGUCGCUGAAAUCCCCCGGCUCAACCGGGGAACGGGCGCGGAUACGACGAGUCUGGAGGGGCAUAGGGGGACCUGGAACUUCCGGUGGAGCGGUGAAAUGCGUUGAGAUCGGAAGGAACGCCCGUGGCGAAAGCGAGGUCCUGGAUGCCUACUGACGCUGAGACGCGAAAGCCAGGGGAGCGAACGGGAUUAGAUACCCCGGUAGUCCUGGCCGUAAACGAUGGGUACUGGAUAGGGGGCUCGCCGAUGGGCUCCCUGUCGUAGGGAAACCGUGAAGUACCCCGCCUGGGGAGUAUGGUCGCAAGGCUGAA